rnacentral:rRNA from 2 species
UUCCGGUUGAUCCCGCCGGACCUGACUGCUAUCGGAUUGAUACUAAGCCAUGCGAGUCAUUGUAGCAAUACAAGGCAUACGGCUCAGUAACGCGUAGUCAACCUACCCUAUGGACGGAAAUAACCUCGGGAAACUGAGAAUAAUAUCCGAUAGAACAUUAUGCCUGGAAUGGUUUAUGUUCCAAAUGAUUUAUCGCCGUAGGAUGGGACUGCGGCCUAUCAGUUUGUUGGUGAGGUAAUGGCCCACCAAGACUAUUACAGGUACGGGCUCUGAGAGGAGUAGCCCGGAGAUGGGUACUGAGACACGGACCCAGGCCCUAUGGGGCGCAGCAGGCGAGAAAACUUUGCAAUGUGCGAAAGCACGACAAGGUUAAUCCGAGUGAUUUCUGCUAAAGAAAUCUUUUGUUAGUCCUAGAAACACUAACGAAUAAGGGGUGGGCAAGUUCUGGUGUCAGCCGCCGCGGUAAAACCAGCACCUCAAGUGGUCAGGAUGAUUAUUGGGCCUAAAGCAUCCGUAGCCGGCUCUGUAAGUCCUCGGUUAAAUCUGUACGCUUAACGUACAGGCUGCCGGGAAUACUGCAUAGCUAGGGAGUGGGAGAGGUAGACGGUACUCGGUAGGAAGGGGUAAAAUCCUUUGAUCUAUUGAUGACCACCUGUGGCGAAGGCGGUCUACCAGAACACGUCCGACGGUGAGGGAUGAAAGCUGGGGGAGCAAAACCGGAUUAGAUACCCGGGUAGUCCCAGCUGUAAACUAUGCAAACUCAGUGAUGCAUUGGCUUGUGGCCAAUGCAGUGCUGCAGGGAAGCCGUUAAGUUUGCCGCCUGGGAAGUACGUACGCAAGUAUGAAACUUAAAGGAAUUGGCSGGGGAGCACCACAAGGGGUGAAGCCUGCGGUUCAAUUGGAGUCAACGCCGG